UUUCAUGGUUUAGUCAAUGCCUAUGACGAAGCGUUCACUACCUAUGCAGCAAACAACCUUUUGAAAUCGGAUGUUCGCGACGUUUAGCAUGCAUCAGGAGUUGCAUGAUCUAAAGGGGGGAGGAUGUAACCCGGGUGACAAAACCCCAUUUAAAUAUCCUUUCUAUUUAUUUUUCGUCGUCUAAACUGUUCUUGCGUGCGUCAUUACAUCACGCGGUCACGUGACUUGCGUGCGUCAUUACGUCACGCGGUCACGUGACUUAACGCGGCUGUCAGACGAGCAUAAAACCCGGAAGUCGGCUGCUACCGGUGAGAGCGAGAGGGACACACUGUGAGGUUGCUGCAGGAGCCGACUACCGGAGCCGUGGGUCGUCCGCGGAAGUGUUUGAGAGUGAUUUAUCUGCGGAAUUGGCCAGGUUGGAUGGCGAGCUAUAGAGCCCUGAACUAGAGUCUGAAGCUUUAUGCCUGGAACCGAACUACUUGAACUGUAUCCACCCAACCGAACCCCGGGCUGGUAGGAGGCUUCUCAGCAGCCGCCCUCUGUUUUCCCUUCUUUUUGCCAAAACGCAACAAGUUCAUUGCGGUCCUCCUGAACCUUCAUUUUUCCCCGUCCCUUCACUAAAACCCCUCUGGACACUGCCACCACAGCGUGGACUUUGCAGGGCCCGUUUAAUGAACUAUGAUAUGGUGUUGCGCUCAUACCAUCGUUGGUAAAAACCAAGGACUAAAUCAUGUAUACUGAUAUUGUAAAUAACUGAA